AGGAUACUUGCAUAAAUGGGCAUUGUGACACACAGAAGUCUGUGUAUUAAACUGUUCGAGGCCUAUACAGUGGCAAAAAUAGCUCCGUUCAAUACUCCCGUGCUCUAUGAGCAGUAUCUGCCAGCGCUCAAAAACAGUGUGUGCAUAGAGAAAUGAAUUCUCUUUCACUGCUGAUUGCAUUUCAAUGGCUUAAAAUCACUUGUUUUUAAACCGCAAUGCUUUAAAACAUAUGUAAACGAUAUGUUUUCAUGACCACAUAGCACUGCAAUAUCCCAUGAGCAUGUAACCGCGAUAAAGACAAUAGUCGAAAACUUCAUAGAUCUUUUACUAACAAGAAUCUGUAUGCAAAAAUGACCAUUUCCCUCCCUAUAUUUUUCUUUUCAAGUAAUCCGUUAUACUCCGAUUAAUGUCACAAUUCAGAAGAAGUAUGGCCAUUUCAGACCUUAACCUAUUUGUCAGUGCUUGUUAUUUCAAAGAAUGUAAUAACUUGCUCCAUCUCUGAAAACAGUCUUUUAAUGUUCAUGCUAAUGCUAACAUUGGUUCCUGGGAUGUCAUUUUCAUCCUCUUCGCAGCUAACUGCAAAAUCACAUUCACGCCUGGAUCCAAUUUGUUUCACAACAGCUUCUUUUAAUUUAGUUUCAAUUCCCUACAUUUUUGUUUCUCACUAAAUAUUCAAAACAUUGUGUCAAUAUAUUCUAACAUUAAUAUCUAAUAUUUGCGUUUAAUUAUAUUCACCAUAUUCUAAAACAUUGUGUAAUUCAAAUGUAUUGCGAAUGUCAUCUUAUAUUGUCUUUAAGGCCAUAUUUGGGUUACUUGUUAAAUGUAAAGUGAACACUCCAACAUAUGAGCACAAUUUUACUAGGGUUGGGGUGUGUGUGUGUGUGUGUGUGUGUGUGUGUGUUUAGCACUCCAUUGUCCUAAAACAGAUGAAUGUGAUUGAUGGUGACUGCAUAGUAAAUAUGGCUUUGUGGUGGACUGUUCCAGAGGUUUUUUUAGGAAACAGCCAGCAUGCAUGUUCAUGAUGGCUGGAUUGUGAUGUCUACAACCCAUGAAUGACUUCUUAAUAUGUUCUGCUCAGUGGUGCAUUGGUGAGAUUGGGUACACAAUGUACGCUGAACUCGAUGAACUUCAGUGGAUUUCAACCCCUGACCCACACUCUGGGUUCAUGGUCUUUUUUAUUUAGCAAUUCAACUUCCAGUAUUAUUAGUGUUAUACUAAAGAAUCAUCUACAUCAAACAGAACAAAUGAGGUUAUUCUUUGGACACUUUGAGACAUAAAAUGAAAACUUAAAAAAGAAAAAAAAUGCAUGACAACCUUUAGGUUUUUUUUUUUUUUGUAGUAAUACCUAUGAUUUUUUGUUCAAAUCUAGAAUAGCACUUGGCCAUUGAGAUGCCACUAAUUUUUAACAUAGAUAGACUGUAGAUUUGCCAAGUGCUUUGUAGAGGAACGUCAUGAAAUUUACAGUAGCUAGGAGCAAGAGAAGCGCUAUACAUUUUUGCUUUGCAUAUGACUGAAGUGCUGGGAAGGGACAAGGGCCACUGAAAAUAGCUAAGAGGGUAUGUCCAUUUUUAAAUGGUGGAUGAGGCUGAAGCAGCAUAUAUGUAGGGAGCUGCGGUCUAUGUGCACUGCAAGCUAUAUUAUAACUUCUUUCUAUCUUAAAAAUCUUUUUUUUUUUUUUACUGAAUUAGUUUACUGGUGUAGAUUACUUUCGAUGUUGAAUUGCACAUUGAUGAGUGCCACCUGGUGGCGGACUUCAUGUGCUGCAGGUAGAAAAGGAAACUGCCAUGCAGUUACUUCUCUUGACCACUAAGGAGCAGUAAAGAUUUGGAAAACUCUUGUAAUUUGACAUGAUCUUUAAUUUAUGAACCCCUUGCCAACUUAAAAUGUGUUUGAACUGCCAAAUAUAAGGAAAGGUUAUUUUGUUUAUUGAGAACUAAAGUAAAUUGUCUCUGCUGGUGUUUACCAAUGUGAUGAUCAAAACAUUUGAUACUUUAUUAACAAACAACCAAAAUGGGGAUUUGUGAAUAGCUAGCUAUAAGGGGUGCUUGGUCUGAAAAUAAGCUGAAUACCCCUUUCUUAGCACCUUGGGCUCCCUCUAUUCUAUUUUUAUUAUAAUUCUUUUUAUGUUAGUUUUUUUAAAUUCAAGUCUUAGGGCUGGUUCACAUAGAGCUCCUCUUUUUUUUUCGCAUUUAACUGUGCUGCUUUUUAACUUUGUCCUAUGUAAACAUGCACUAGGCAGAUGUCUUUGAGCACUGUGAUGCAUCUUGCUGCUUUUUCAGCAUCUUGUGCAUCCAAGCCGUGUUAACAAAAAAGAAGUCGUUUGACUAUUAAGGCAAGUUCAACUUUUAAGGCAAGACACCACUAGUGAAUAAGCUAUACAUGUAAUUACAAGGCAUAAUGUAAUUAAAUUUGCACUAAUUUCCAGGUUCAAAAUUUGUUAGAUUUGUGGUGACAUAUUAAAGAAACUGGCCUUCAAUAUAUGCAUCGGAAUUUAAAUUCGAUGCAAAUAGUUCUACUAGUUUGAGUGUUUUACCUUAAAAAGCACAUUUCGAUGCUCUGUUCUUUCUCAUUUCUCAGCACUACAUUCUUAUGUGCAAGAACGCGUUCUGUUUGAACGACUUAAGCUGGAAAUAUCCAAGCUCACUCCACCUCACAGUUCAAGAGAGACAGAAGGGGUGCAAACACAGGAAAAACAAUGACAGAUGCAAUCAAAAAAGCCUCGGAUGAAGACAUACCUCUCCUGAACUGAUGUCUUGUACAUUUAAUGCUUUUAAUAAGAUGUCUAUCAGCCUGUUAAUCUUAUAACAUCUUUCCAGCGUUCUCUCCUCCGUAUGAACCCACUCCUCUUUCUCUCUUUCUCUCCUCUGCGGCCCGCCGCUCCAUGUACUUGACCUAUCUGUGCGCUUCUGCGCUGCUCCGCCGGCAACCUCAAAGACUUCUAACAGAUUUCAAAACAUAUAUUGCUCUUUGUACAUCCCUGCCUACCAGAGACCAAUGCAUGUGCGCACACACAAGCAGGUGUGUGGAUCUACCUCCUGACACCUUCAGCCAUACCUCCCUGGCCCCUGUGCCCUGAUAAAGAUCAUGUGAUGCAGGAGAUUUGUUUGAACAUGGUGUUAUGGGAAAUAGAUGUAAAUGGAGGCAACUUUGAAUAUGGGAUGUUGUAGAUUCAUACCUCACCAGGGGCCGGGGAGCUCCAUCAGCAUGGCUCCGGAGAGAAUGUCUCUGGUGUGCCCACAGGGAUCCUGCAGCUAUUUUUUUUUUUCAGUAUAGAUGUAUGAAUAUACAUAUAUAAAUACAAAUAUAUAUAUAUACUGUACAUUAUGCAUAGAAACACUAAUGAAGUUUGAUUGUUAGUUGUGCACUCACAGCAUGAGAUGUUAUUCCCCAGAAACCGCUUUUCGGAAACAAAUGCAGUAGUGUCUACUGAUGUCAAAACCCCUCUGUACCCUCCACCCCACCCCGAGUACAUGCCAGUGUUUCCUCUGUGUUCCAAGUGCCAAUAACUUUGUGAAUUCCUUUACUGUGACCCAACGAGAAAGAAAAUUGCACAUUAACUACUGUAAAAAAAAAAAGAAAAAGAGAAGAAAUUAUGAAAAUACAUCUUAAUAAAAAGCUUUGUAACAAAGAAA